CACGGGGGGAGCAAGCGUUGUUCGGAAUCACUGGGCGUAAAGGGCGUGUAGGCGGUCAGGUAAGUGAGACGUGAAAUGCCCCGGCUUACCCCGGGACCUGCGUCUCAUACUGCUUGGCUUGAGUACGGGAGAGGGUGUGGGAAUUCCUGGUGUAGCGGUGAAAUGCGUAGAUAUCAGGAGGAACACCGGUGGCGAAGGCGCACACCUGGCCCGAUACUGACGCUGAGGCGCGAAAGCUAGGGGAGCAAACGGG
rnacentral:rRNA from 1 species